UGGGGAAUAUUGCACAAUGGGGGAAACCCUGAUGCAGCCAUGCCGCGUGUGUGAAGAAGGCCUUCGGGUUGUAAAGCACUUUCAGUAGGGAGGAAGGGUUGAUGUCUAAUACGCAUCAGCAUUGACGUUACCUACAGAAGAAGCACCGGCUAACUCCGUGCCAGCAGCCGCGGUACUACGGAGGGUGCAAGCGUUAAUCGGAAUAACUGGGCGUAAAGCGCACGCAGGCGGUUGGAUAAGUCAGAUGUGAAAUGCCCGGGCUCAACCUGGGAACUGCAUUUGAAACUGUCCGACUAGAGUCUUGUAGAGGGGGGUAGAAUUCCAGGUGUAGCGGUGAAAUGCGUAGAGAUCUGGAGGAAUACCGGUGGCGAAGGCGGCCCCCUGGACAAAGACUGACGCUCAGGUGCGAAAGCGUGGGGAGCAAACA
rnacentral:rRNA from 1 species